rnacentral:lncRNA from 1 species
GGGCUGGUGACGCGUGCGCCGGCCGGCCGCCGAGGGGCUACCGUUCUGCCUCCGACCGGUCGUGUGUGGGUUUACUCGGAGAAAUACUAGGCUUUAGAAUUUCACCAUAUGAAUUUUGGGAGAGAGGAGCACAGUUCAGCCCAUAACUAACACACGACGGAAUGAAGUUGAUAAUAGUGAGACCUUGUUGGUACAAGACUAUGUAACAUAACCUGCGCUUCUCAACAAAGAAUUGCUUUUCUGACUUCUGCACUCAAUAGCAAGACAAAUCUCUCCUCUGCCUUCUCCUUAUCAGACUACUCAACAUGAAGGCAAUAAGAAUGAAGACCUCUAUGUAUAAUAAUUGACUUCCACUUAAUAAAUAGUUACUUGGUACACUGGUCGACAAAACCUUGAAAUGUUGAUGUUUAAGGGCUGUUGAUUGCUGGCAGCAAAGAAGUCCAACUGUGCUGGUACCCGAGAUAGCGUCUCCACAUUUUCUUCCAGGAUCAUCACCUUUGUUCUAAAUAGCUCCCACAUAGUGUGAACAGAAGUCAUAUGUUUUAGAUUUUCUGCCUUGGCACCCAGGAAACCAGUAUGAUUGAGUAAACAUAUUAAACUUCCUCUGCAUUUCCAGCCUGAACAGAUGUUGAGUACAAGCUGAUCCACCUACGUUCAACCUGAGAGAGUCCACAUCCACAGACUGUUUCAUUUCCCUUUUUCAAUUUACAUAGAAGCAUAGAUUCUUGCUGGCAUAUACAAAUGCGCCAUUUAAGGCAAUCAAAAAUGGUUCCACAUCUCAUCUGAUUUCCACAAUUGUUGCUGUAACGAUGGACUACUGAGGAGAGAGACAAUUUCUCUGGCACAUCUUCCCACAUUUUAGCAACAUGUUCAUGGAGAGCCAAUAUUCAGUAAUUACAGCCCAAUUCCUCACAAUUUCACAAUUCGCUAACAAUAUGCAUUUUCACAAUGUAAAGCUGAUUUUCCUUUAACCAAAUCAAACAUGAAAAGAUAGCUGCAUGCAAUGGGCAAUCUAGAUCAUUAGAAGAUUGAUGUAAAAUUAGAGGACACUGAGACUGGAAUAGAUUGCAAACUUCAGGGAGCUCAGAAAACUUGUAAACUCUACAUUUUGAGGAAAUAUGUUGUCGAUGCUUUUGCAACUCUAUGCAGUAACUUAACAAAUAAAGCCUUAAAGUAACU